CGCGGCCUAUCAGCUUGUUGGUGAGGUAAUGGCUCACCAAGGCUUCGACGGGUAGCCGGCCUGAGAGGGCGACCGGCCACACUGGGACUGAGAUACGGCCCAGACUCCUACGGGAGGCAGCAGUGGGGAAUAUUGCACAAUGGGCGCAAGCCUGAUGCAGCAACGCCGCGUGCGGGACGACGGCCUUCGGGUUGUAAACCGCUUUCAGUAGGGACGAAGCUAACGUGACGGUACCUACAGAAGAAGGACCGGCUAACUACGUGCCAGCAGCCGCGGUGAUACGUAGGGUCCGAGCGUUGUCCGGAAUUAUUGGGCGUAAAGGGCUUGUAGGCGGUCCGUCGCGUCAGGAGUGAAAACUCGGGGCUUAACCCCGAGCCUGCUUUUGAUACGGGCGGACUAGAGGGAUGCAGGGGAGAACGGAAUUCCUGGUGGAGCGGUGGAAUGCGCAGAUAUCAGGAGGAACACCGGUGGCGAAGGCGGUUCUCUGGGCAUCACCUGACGCUGAGAAGCGAAAGCGUGGGGAGCAAACAGGCUUAGAUACCCUGGUAGUCCACGCCGUAAACGGUGGGCACUAGGUGUGGGGGACAUUCCACGUUCUCCGUGCCGAAGCUAACGCAUUAAGUGCCCCGCCUGGGGAGUACGG
rnacentral:rRNA from 1 species